UACAGAGGUGGCAAGCGUUGUUCGGAAUUACUGGGCGUAAAGGGCGCGUAGGCGGUCGGGCAAGUCCUGUGUGAAAUCCCUCGGCUCAACCGGGGAAUUGCACGGCGAACCGCACGUCUCGAGACAAGUAGGGGCGGUCGGAACGAUAGGUGGAGUGGUGAAAUGCGUUGAUAUCUAUCGGAACGCCAAAGGUGAAGACAGGCCGCGUGGGCUUGUUCUGACGCUGAUGCACGAAAGCGUGGGGAGCAAACGGG
rnacentral:rRNA from 1 species